UUGAAUUGGGCUUCUUUGCUUUCUUUUCUGUUUCUAUAAUUUAGGGUUUGGCCUCGAGGUUGAGCAGUGAGGUAUUCUUCUUUCUUUCUUUCUUCUGUUUUAGGGUUUUUGUUACUAGGAUAGAAUUAAAAUUAAAGGUGGAGAGAGAUUGAGAGGGAGGGAGUGUUGAUUUUCCUUCUCCGUCUCUCGGGUCUGGCGGUGAAAUACAAGUAGUUUAGGAGGAUGGAAGGAAGGAGGAUAUCGGCGAAUCCAAGACCAUGCUCGGGAAGGAGGAUAUUGGCGAAGAAAAGGCCUCGCACCAAUGGAUUUUCUAACACUGUUAAGAAGUUGCAGAGACGCGAGAUUUCGUCUAAGCGAGAUCGUGCUUUCAGUAUGAGCAAUUCCCAGGAGAGGUUUCGCAAUAUGAGUUUGAUGGAGGAGUAUGAUACUCAUGAUCCCAAGGGCCAUUGUUCGGUAGUGCUGCCCUUUUUGAUGAAGAGAACAAAAGUCAUUGAGAUUGUAGCUA
rnacentral:misc_RNA from 1 species